rnacentral:lncRNA from 1 species
CCAAUGGGAUUAACAUUGCCCCAAUAAGUUUCAGCCUGAGGAUGUUGCAAUGGAUCACCAUACACUUCACUUGUGCUUGUAAGCAAAAAUCGAGCACCUAUUCUUUUUGCUAAUCCCAACAUGUUCAAUGUUCCCAUCACAUUUGUUUUGUGAUAUCUAUCCAAUUUAUAGUCAAGGAAUCUUGCCCCAAAAAUACCUCCAAAAUACCAACAUGUAUUUACAUAGUAUAAUUGUAUACAUGCAGUAAACUACUACAACAACAACCCAGUAAAAUCCGACAAAGCAGAGAUGUUAUUUUCAAUAGACCAUCGGCUCAAGAAGACGGAAAGAGAUAAUACAUCAGUACUAUCAAUAAAAACCAUAGAAAUAAUAACAGCAUCAUAAGAACAAAAAAAUAGAUGAAAUAAAGCAAUAACAAUAACCAGUAAAUAAGGCCCGACACUAUGAAAAACGGAAGAGUAGUUGAACACAACAUUAACCACUAGCAGUCUAAGACAAAAUCCUAACUGACUAGCCUCUUACCGGUACGAAGUAGAAAUAUGCUCAACUACCUCCUAACCUACAACCCUGAUGCUCGACCUCCACACAUUUGCAGCGAACUACUUAGUUAUAUACUUCACAAUUACAAUUUAAAUAGAAGAGAAUAAUCCUAAAAAGGUUUAAUUUUACUUAUUAAUCUUUCUCAUUUUAAUACAAUGAUCAUAUAACUAAGAACAUUUGUAAUAAGACAUAAAACCGACUUGAUUGCAUAUAUGGACAUAAAAGGUGCAAUGUAUCAAAUUCUCAUUAAGAAAUACGGAUUAUACGGCAAAAACCUACUCGCACUGGAUAUUUACACCAAAUCAAUAGAUACAUGGCAUGUGUUUUGCAUAUGGACUUCAAUUAUUUAACCAUGAUAAAUUAUACACAUUCUUAUCUAAUUAAAUUAGUUAACCAUAGUAAGUUAAUGUAGUUUGGUGUAAACACCCGGUAUGGAUAAGUAUUUACCCGGAUUAUACCAUCUUGAGUACCUGUAAUGCUAAAAAUGAUUUUAUUUAUGUGCACAGACGGUAAAGAUUUUUACACUAUCAAUAUAUCUUAAUUCAGCUAUAGCAAAUAACUUAUCUUAUUCACCAUAUUACUAAUAUCUUGUUAUAAACAGUUAUUUAUAGUUUUUUUAGAUGACAAAAAAAUCUGUUACUGUCUAUCCAAAAUCUCUCCCCUCUAUCCCUUUUCAACCACGCCAUCAAUCCCAUUUUUCACUCGAUUAAAGCCAAAUAUUUAAAAAUAACAUCCGAUGCACAAGGUAUUUCGUGUUCAUAUAGGGUUCGAGGAAGGAGCGUAUCCCAAGGGGUGUGAUGUAGACAAUCUACCCUAAUGCAAGCAUUAAUGGUUGCUUCUAACGCUCGAACCCGUGAUCUAUAGGUCAUACAAAAAUAAUUUUACCGAUACUCCAAUGCUCCCUUUAAAGCCUGAAUAUAAAGAAAGGAGAUCAAAAAGAUAGUCGAACGACUUAGUAUUUAUGUUUUAAGGUCAUGCUAAAAACAUAAAUUAAAAAAAAAAUUCCAAAAUGUGAAAGGAUAUGAUGGUCUUGACUGGAUUAUACUUGUAAGAAACAGGAGAAGCUGGACAUGCCAAAUGAUAAAUCUGAUCAACUUCCAACAAUAUUGGCUCAACGACGUCGUGUCGAAUGAGUUCAAAUCUAGGGUUCUUGAAAUGGUGUAAUAAAUUCUCUUUUCGACCUGUGAAAAAAUUAUCAACCACAAUUACACUAUCUCCUUGUGCUAUUAAUCUGUCCACCAAAUGGCUCCCAACAAAUCCAGCUCCUCCUGUUACUAAUAUUCUCAAACUCUUGCUCUUCAAUCCCAAUGGAACCUUUCCACCU